AAUGAACGUUGGCGGCGUGGAUUAGGCAUGCAAGUCGUGCGAGAAGUCUUUUGCUUGCAUUAGACGGAAAGCGGCGAAAGGGAGAGUAACGCGUGGGUACCUACCUCUAGGUUCGGGAUAGCUGCGGGAAACUGUGGGUAAUACCGAAUAACAUCUCCGGAUCAAAGGUGUGAUUCCGCCUGGAGACGGGCCCGCGUCCUAUUAGCUUGUUGGUGGGGUAAUGGCUUACCAAGGCAAUGAUGGGUAUCGGGCGUGAGAGAGUGACCCGACUCACUGGGACUGAGACACGGCCCAGACACCUACGGGUGGCUGCAGCCGAGAGUCUUCGGCAAUGGGCGCAAGCCUGACCGAGCGACGCCGCGUGCGGGAUGAAGGCCCUCGGGUUGUAAACCGCUGUCAGUUGGGAGGAAAUCACAUGGGGUUCUCUCCAUGUGUUGACCUAUCUUCAGAGGAAGGACGGGCUAAGUUCGUGCCAGCCGCCGCGGUAACAC
rnacentral:rRNA from 1 species